UUAGAUUCUACAACUAAACCUUCGACCAUAUGGAAACGCGUCUACCGCAUAAAUAUAAGAUUAAAUUUUGUUUUUCUACAUUUCAUAGGACUAUGUCAGUAUAGUCUAUCUUAUGGCUUCCUUAGCCACUCACCAAGAAAGGAAAAAAAAAAAAGACUUCGACAGCCACACAUAUGACAUGCAUCUACCUUUUGAAAAUAACCUCUUUUGGAAAGAAAAUAAAAGAGUCGUGUGUGGCAGACAAAAAUAAAUAUAUAACCUUUGAAUGAAAAUAUAUACCACUUAAAAAAGUGUUAAAAAGGUUUGGAUUCUCUUCGUAUUAAUUAUAUACGUGGACCAUAUUAUUGAUAAAAUGUUCGUUUCUUUAUAUUUUUGAUCCGUUGUCCACAAAACAUAUUUGUGUGUUAAUGUUUAAUUCGUUUAUAUUGUAUGUAUUAUAUGUAGAUUUCAAGUUUUUUUUUUUCUUUUUUCUUUUCUAAACAUGGAUCAGCUAGUAAUUUACCCACAAAGUCUUCACGACUGGAAACGUAGUCUCAUCAAUACC
rnacentral:lncRNA from 1 species